AUGAACGCUAGCGGCAGGCUUAACACAUGCAAGUCGAGGGGUAUAGUUCUUCGGAAUUAGAGACCGGCGCACGGGUGCGUAACGCGUAUGCAAUCUACCUUUCACAGAGGGAUAGCCCAGAGAAAUUUGGAUUAAUACCUCAUAGUAUAGCAGUUUCGCAUGAAACCACUAUUAAAGUCACAACGGUGAAAGAUGAGCAUGCGUCCCAUUAGCUAGUUGGUAAGGUAACGGCUUACCAAGGCAACGAUGGGUAGGGGUCCUGAGAGGGAGAUCCCCCACACUGGUACUGAGACACGGACCAGACUCCUACGGGAGGCAGCAGUGAGGAAUAUUGGACAAUGGGCGCAAGCCUGAUCCAGCCAUGCCGCGUGCAGGAUGACGGUCCUAUGGAUUGUAAACUGCUUUAUACAGGAAGAAACACUACUUCGUGAAGUAGCUUGACGGUACUGUAAGAAUAAGGAUCGGCUAACUCCGUG
rnacentral:rRNA from 1 species